CGGGCAUUAGUUCAGUUGGUUAGAGCGCCACUCUGAUAAGGUGGAAGUCCUUGGUUCGAGUCCAAGAUGCCCGACCA
rnacentral:tRNA from 1 species